UACGUAGGGUGCGAGCGUUAAUCGGAAUUACUGGGCGUAAAGCGUGCGUAGGCGGUUCGUUAAGUUCGUUGUGAAAGCCCCGGGCUCAACCUGGGAAUGGCAAUGGAAACUGGCGGGCUUGAGUAUGGCAGAGGGGGGUGGAAUUCCGCGUGUAGCAGUGAAAUGCGUAGAGAUGCGGAGGAACACCGAUGACGAAGGCAGCCCCCUGGGCCAAUACUGACGCUCAGGCACGAAAGCGUGGGGAGCAAACAGG
rnacentral:rRNA from 1 species